UGCAUCAACUUUACUUGGAUCUGGCUUUCUCCCAUAAAAUCCACACAAAUGCUCAACAAUAAGAACUUCUUGCAUUCCAAAUAUAGAUUUUGCUCCUGAAAGUGUAAGAUGAACCUCUUCAAGUCGAGUUAAAAUAUUUUCACAAUCUUGUAUAUGAUCAACAACAUAUUUGCAACACCCCCUCUCAUCUAAAGUUUCAUCUUUUUCUCCUUCUUUACAUCCUUUGAUAGGAACAUCAUCUAAAAAGGACAUAGUUUUUUCAGAAAUGAAGUCUCUUAGUACCUUGUUCAUUCCAAUCAUCAUAUGUGUAACUGAGUUAAUAGCACCUUGUGGGAGAGUACACAUUUAAAGUAAUCCAAGUAGCGUUCUCAUUGUUGUUA
rnacentral:lncRNA from 1 species